AUUGAACGCUGGCGGCAUGCCUUACACAUGCAAAUCGAACGGUAACGGGCCUUCGGGUGCCGACGAGUGGCGAACGGGUGAGUAAUACAUCGGAACGUGCCCGAUCGUGGGGGAUAACGAGGCGAAAGCUUUGCUAAUACCGCAUACGAUCUACGGAUGAAAGCAGGGGACCGCAAGGCCUUGCGCGGACGGAGCGGCCGAUGGCAGAUUAGGUAGUUGGUGGGAUAAAAGCUUACCAAGCCGACGAUCUGUAGCUGGUCUGAGAGGAUGAUCAGCCACACUGGGACUGAGACACGGCCCAGACUCCUACGGGAGGCAGCAGUGGGGAAUUUUGGACAAUGGGCGCAAGCCUGAUCCAGCCAUGCCGCGUGCAGGAUGAAGGCCUUCGGGUUGUAAACUGAUUUUGUACGGAACGAAAAGCCUUCUUUUAAUACAGGAGGGUCAUGACGGUACCGUAAGAAUAAGCACCGGCUAACUACGU
rnacentral:rRNA from 1 species